rnacentral:rRNA from 1 species
AGGUGGGCGAGAUGAGUAUUCUAAGGCGCUUGAGAGAACUCGGGAGAAGGAACUCGGCAAAUUGGUACCGUAACUUCGGGAUAAGGUACGCCCUGGUAGCUUGACUGGCCUGCGCCAGAAGGGUGAAGGGGUUGCAAUAAACUGGUGGCUGCGACUGUUUAAUAAAAACACAGCACUCUGCAAACACGAAAGUGGACGUAUAGGGUGUGACGCCUGCCCGGUGCCGGAAGAUUAAAUGAUGGGGUGCAAGCUCUUGAUUGAAGUCCCGGUAAACGGCGGCCGUAACUAUAACGGUCCUAAGGUAGCGAAAUUCCUUGUCGGGUAAGUUCCGACCUGCACGAAUGGCGUAACGAUGGCCACACUGUCUCCUCCCGAGACUCAGCGAAGUUGAAGUGUUUGUGAUGAUGCAAUCUACCCGCGGCUAGACGGAAAGACCCCAUGAACCUUUACUGUAGCUUUGCAUUGGACUUUGAACCGAUCUGUGUAGGAUAGGUGGGAGGCUAUGAAACCGGAACGCUAGUUUCGGUGGAGCCGUCCUUGAAAUACCACCCUGGUUUGUUUGAGGUUCUAACCUUGGCCCGUGAUCCGGGUCGGGGACAGUGCAUGGUAGGCAGUUUGACUGGGGCGGUCUCCUCCCAAAGCGUAACGGAGGAGUACGAAGGUACGCUAGGUACGGUCGGAAAUCGUGCUGAUAGUGCAAUGGCAUAAGCGUGCUUAACUGCGAGACCGACAAGUCGAGCAGGUGCGAAAGCAGGUCAUAGUGAUCCGGUGGUUCUGUAUGGAAGGGCCAUCGCUCAACGGAUAAAAGGUACUCUGGGGAUAACAGGCUGAUACCGCCCAAGAGUUCAUAUCGACGGCGGUGUUUGGCACCUCGAUGUCGGCUCAUCUCAUCCUGGGGCUGUAGCCGGUCCCAAGGGUAUGGCUGUUCGCCAUUUAAAGAGGUACGUGAGCUGGGUUUAAAACGUCGUGAGACAGUUUGGUCCCUAUCUGCCGUGGGCGUUGGAAGUUUGAAGGGGGCUGCUCCUAGUACGAGAGGACCGGAGUGGACGAACCUCUGGUGUACCGGUUGUGACGCCAGUCGCAUCGCCGGGUAGCUAUGUUCGGAAGAGAUAACCGCUGAAAGCAUCUAAGCGGGAAACUCGCCUUAAGAUGAGACUUCCCCGGGGACUUGAUCCCCUUGAAGGGUCGUUCGAGACCAGGACGUUGAUAGGUCGGGUGUGUAAGCGCAGUAAUGCGUUCAGCUAACCGAUACUAAUUGCCCGUACGGCUUGAUCCU